CCCAGCCCAAAUGUGGCAGAAGGUUGGGAAGAAGGGAAGCAUCGACCACGGGCAGCCUCCUCUCACGGACAGUGCCACCGAGACCUUCUGUCAGCAGCCUCAUGCUUGGCUAGGGCUGCACGGGAGACGUGAACAGCACCAGGAGAGCCCUCCAUCCCCACAAGAUUGAGAAACCGAGGCACAGCAUUGUGCAACUCUUCUGUGCCACUUGGAUUGGAAGCUGAAUCCAGAGAGAGGGGCAGAGAUGGCUUUCAACACUGGGACAGGCAAGAGAGACGACAAGAUGAAGCUUAGAUGCCUCUGAGGUUCUAGGCACCAGCAUGAUGUUCAGGGUCGCUUGGGAAGUGUGGAUCUGGCUCUCGGGGCCCAUCACGGGGGCCUUGAAACAGUCACAUAGUACUUAGAGCAUGAAGCAGCUACCAUAAAAUAUCUUUUCACUCCAA
rnacentral:lncRNA from 1 species